rnacentral:rRNA from 1 species
CCUACGGGCGGCAGCAGUGAGGAAUUUUCCGCAAUGGACGCAAGUCUGACGGAGCAACGCCGCGUGCAGGAUGAAGGUUUUCGGAUCGUAAACUGCUUUUCUCGGGGACGAGCAAGGACGGUACCCGAGGAAGAAGCCCCGGCUAACUACGUGCCAGCAGCCGCGGUAAUACGUAGGGGGCGAGCGUUGUCCGGAUUUAUUGGGCGUAAAGCGCACGCAGGCGGUGCGGUAAGUUUGGGGUGACAGCGGCCGGCUUAACCGGUCGAGUGUCCCAAAGACUGCCGCACUUGAGGGCCAAAGAGGAACACAGAAUUCCGGGUGUAGUGGUGAAAUGCGUAGAUAUCCGGAGGAAUACCAAAGGCGAAGGCAGUGUUCUGGGUGGCUCCUGACGCUCAGGUGCGAAAGCUAGGGGAGCGAACGGGAUUAGAUACCCCUGUAGUC